CGCCGACUUAUGUAUUGCAGUAAAAGUUUUUAAUUAACGAUUAUAUUGUAAAUAGAAAAAAAUUAUUAAUUGUUUUAAGUUCGUUCAGUUGUUUAGUUAUUUCUAAUUUGGUUAAAGAUCCAGAAAUUGAUAAAACAAAAAAAAUGACAAGGAACCUCUAGAAAAAAAAUUCUAUCCUCGAUGCUUGUAGUGUCACGUACUUCAAAGAUAAGGGCAAAAGUAAAAAAGGGUAUCUUGAAGGACGCCGAAUUCUUCAUAUUCAGACUUUUUAGAACUCGGUCUAUUUUACGGUUAUUUUUCAUAUUUUCUGAAUGGAAAUUUAACUUGAAAGUAGGGAUCUCCGAGGGCUAUUUAGUUUGAAAAAAUCUCCUUGAAGCUGAAAAUUCGUUAUUAAGAUCUGCAGUACAUUACAACGGGAAGGCGUUUUUUUUGUCAUUCUAGUAAUUUUUUUGUUCCGGGAGUGUUCGAAAUUUUUAAAAUCGCGAUCGUUUAAAUCUUUAGAAAAAGUAUUUUGUUUCUUAAUUUAAAUGUGGUUUCGGGAGUGUUCGAAAUUUUUUAAAUCGCAUGUGUUUGUGGCAGAUUUAAUCAUCCCAAAUAUAUAUAUGAUACAUCGAUUGCAGACAAAGAUGACUAUGGACACGAAAGAGGGAUAUAUGAAUUGAAGCGGUUUUCAAAAAAGAUUUAAAGUACAUUGCCACGGAAGUGAUGGAAUUUUUAAAUUCACGAAUGAAAAAAAUCUUUGAAUGUUAAACUUUUUUUUUUUUUGUCAUUUUUGUAAAUAUUUUUCUUUCUUUUCGGGAGUGUUCGAAAUUCUUAAAAUCGCGAUCGCUUAAAUUUUUUGGAAAAAGUAUUUUGUUUUUUAAUUUUUAAACACGUGGUUUCGGGAGUGUACGAAAUUUUUUUAAAUCGCGUGUGUUUGUGUUUCCAGCAGAUCUUAUCGUCCAAAAAAAAUAUGAUACAUCGAUUGCAGCCUAAGGAUUUUAAGGAAUACCCAUGGGGAGCAACAAUUUCUUCAUACAACUUUUCUGAAUCGUAUGCAAGAAGUAAAGUCCACAUCACAUAUAUGGCAAACUACAGAUCAUCCACUCGCAUUUGAAUUUCUGCAGGCAGAUUUUCCAACGAGAGCUACAUUAGAAAUGUGGAAAAACUAGAGAGUACCCCAUCAGGUUCACAUUUCAAUUUCUGCACUUUAUAAAAAACAAACAAGCAACCGCAUGGACGCUGAUCCUGAAUAAAGCAAGCUUAUUCUACAUUUAAUACAAGAGAACCUGUGCGCCGAACGACUGUGAAAAAUAUUGACGAAUUAUACCGAAAGAUUUAUGCGAUAUUAUUUAUAUGAGACGGUAUUAUAUUUUUUUUUUAAACUAAAUAAUUCGAACAACCUUUUAAAAUUAAUUUUAACUAACAGUAUUUUCUUCUAUAGUUGUAUAAUAUCGUGAAAUUUAUAUUCUACUAAUGUUUCUCUGCUUUUUUGACUAAUUUGUAAUUAUUUAGUUAAUUUAUUAAUAAUUAAAAAAAAUUUAUUUUAUGAUUUUUUUUACACAAAUUAUUUCAAAGGGUUAUAAAAUAUUAUUAAAUGUAAAAAAUUUAGAGAUAAUA